GAUCAGUAACUGCUUUAUGUCGGAGGCCUUUGUUGGAUUUCAGGCUCAGUGUGACUCAGAACGUGGUACUCCUGCUAACUAAGAAGACGGGUGAGCAGUGCCCAUGAUGAAGAGCCCAUUUUGUUGCCACACUCAGCUCCUGCAGAGAAAUGUGGAAAGAGUGUGGUCUGGAAUGAUCUGCUGAUAAGUGGGAAGGAGCAGAAGGAUCAAGUGGGAACACCAAAAACCUUGCCCCUUUCCUGACUCUGCUAAUGACCAGCUCCAAGGGACUUCCCUGAUCCUUGUCCAGGCUCAUAUCCUGGCAAACACUGGUCUCCUGGGUCAUCCCUGACCCAGCCAGUGACAGUCCAGGAGGUCUGGGCAUGGGUGGGGAGCUGUGAGCUGGCUGUGCUUUCAGUGCUGCCCAAAGAGCCACUUCUGUUAUUUUAAAAUUCAUGUCUUGAUCUUUGAUCAGGAGAGUGUGACCUUGGGGCUCCUUUCCUCAGAGUCAGUGCUUCCUGGCCAGCACUUUGGGCUGACGUGUUUAAAGAAACAAGAGGGUUUGCAAAACACUUCAGCCCUCUGCCUGUCUCCCUCUCUGUGGUAAAACACAAUGUGGGCUCUUCAUACCAGGCUCAGAGAGACAAGCCAGCCUAUUUCUUUGUCUCUCUGGUGUGUGUGGCGCCAGGCUCUGCCAGACUACGAGACAAAGGCCAGCAGUCAUUGAACUGGGAGAAAAAAGCAAUGAAAGCAGUGGAAUUUGGGUGGGAGGGUGAAGAAGCUGCUUCUGCUUCUGCAGCGCUCACAGUGCCAGCAGAGAGAGCAGCGUUGCAGGGAGCAGGUUCCCCAGCUCUGUCCAUGGGCACUGAGUCCAUGUCUGAAGCUACAAACCCAGCAGCCAGAGGUGAGCUUGUUCCUGGCUGAGUUCAGCUGAGGGCCAGACACAGAAAAACUUGUAUAAAAAUAAUGCUGAGAUAACAGCAGUUUGGCAAUUAUUAAAAAUUUUGGAGGCAGGCAGGUUGUAUAAAGACAGAAAAAUAAAUCCAAGUGGUUCACCUUCCA